UUUACCAUUUUUUUUUUUUUCUCGCGUUUCUUUUAUGUUGCUUCAGAACUCAAAGAGAACCCUAGUGUUGCUUUAGAACUCAAACGGAUUGAGAGUAGAGGCCAAACGACGAGGAGAGGAGAGGAGAGGCAGCGGUGAGGCGAGGGGAAACGACGACGAAACGACGGCGACGAGGUCCGUUCGUCUUCAGGAUCAUUUUUCUCAGGAUCAUGUCAAUGUCAAUGGGUUCAAACAUUGAUACUGGAUAUUUGAAAAAUCAGAGAUGCAAUUGUGGAAAAAAAGCUGCAGUGUUCAUAUCAGAAUCAGAGAAAAAUCCAGGGAGGCUGUAUUUCAAGUGUGCAACUAGGAUGUACGAGUACUUUGGAUGGGGACCGGCUUCGACUGGGAAUGCAUCAGAUAUCCAAAGGAAAAGUAAAGCUACUUAUCUGAAGAAUGAAGAUGAGAGAGGCUAUGAUUAUGAUGU